rnacentral:rRNA from 1 species
GACGAACGCUGGCGGCGUGCUUAACACAUGCAAGUCGAACGGAAAGGCCCUGCUUGCAGGGUACUCGAGUGGCGAACGGGUGAGUAACACGUGGGUGAUCUGCCCUGCACUUCGGGAUAAGCCUGGGAAACUGGGUCUAAUACCGGAUAGGAGCCAUUUUUAGUGUGAUGGUUGGAAAGUUUUUUCGGUGUAGGAUGAGCUCGCGGCCUAUCAGCUUGUUGGUGGGGUAAUGGCCUACCAAGGCGGCGACGGGUAGCCGGCCUGAGAGGGUGGACGGCCACAUUGGGACUGAGAUACGGCCCAGACGCCUACGGGAGGCAGCAGUGGGGAAUAUUGCACAAUGGGCGCAAGCCGGAUGCAGCGACGCCGCGUGGGGGAUGACGGCCUUCGGGUUGUAAACUCCUUUCGCUAGGGACGAAGCUUUUUGUGACGGUACCUAGAGAAGAAGCACCGGCUAACUACGUG